rnacentral:tRNA from 1 species
GAGAAUUUAGUUAAUUUAUAGCACUACUUCGUCAAGGUAGAGUAAUGGGUUAAAUCCCCAUACUUCUCU